rnacentral:lncRNA from 1 species
GAGGCCUUAUUUGGGAGGUCUUAAGGGGGCUAACUCAAGGGCUUGGAUUGAAAUUAAGUCCAAGGGGUAAGAGUAUGUGAGAUAUGGAUGAGAUAUGGUUCAGUGAGUGCUUUCAUAUAUUGGAUGGAGCUAGAAAAAUUUUUGAUUAGGCCUAAUGAUUGUGCAUAAAUAUACAUAUGUUGUAUUAGGAUUUUUAUAACGUAAGUAGUGGAAUACAAGAUCUUUUCUCUCCCUCUUUGGUUCCAAUGCCAAACCCUAGCUUUCUUCUUUUUUUUUCUUUGUUGUUUGCUGGAGUAACAUCUAGAUUUCAUGCAAGGUGAUCCUGAUCAAGUACAAGGGUUGUAUCAGAGUUUCUCAACAUCUUCUUACAGUUUAAUCUCCUUAUUCUCUCUUUUUUUUUUUUGAAGUAAUAUUUACAUAUACAGUCGAUGCAAUGUCCUAAUCCCUUAAGCUUUUUAAUUGACUCUUAUAGCGAGUUUUAAGCCAAUAACUUCCAAACCAAUUGACUUUAGGAUAUUAGAUGUAGAACACCCCUCAGACUUACCGACUCGAGUCAAAAAGGCUACGAGUUAAGACUGACUCUAUAAGAGGUUUCUUCAUAUUAUCAUCUUUUGAUAUGAACAACAACGCUUCUUAGACGAAGAGAUCCAGUUACUCAGUGA